rnacentral:rRNA from 1 species
AGAGUUUGAUGAUGGCUCAGAUUGAACGCUGGCGGCAGUUCUGAGACAUGCAAGUCGAGCCGUAACAGCAGAAGCUCGCUUCCGGCUGACGAGCGGCGGACGUGUGAGUAUCUCGUCGGAAUCUACCUAGUAGUGGGGGACAAUCCGGGGAACUACGGGCUAAUACCGCAUACGCUCUACGGAGGAAAGCAGGGGAUCUUCGGACCUUGCGCUAUAGGAGGAGCCUGCGUCGGAUUAGCUAGUUGGUGGGGUAAAGGCCUACCAAGGCGACGAUCCGUAGCUGGUCUGAGAGGAUGAUCAGCCACACUGGAACUGAGACACGGUCCAGACUCCUACGGGAGGCGGCAGUGGGGAAUUUUGGGCAAUGGGCGCAAGCCUGACCCAGCCAUGCCGCGUGUGUGAAGAAGGCCUUCGGGUUGUAAAGCACUUUCGGCGGUGAAGAAAAGCUCAGGGCCAAUAUCCUUGAGUCUUGACGUUAUCUGCAGAAGAAGCACCGGCUAACUACGUGCCAGCAGCCGCGGUAAUACGGAGGGUGCGAACGUUAAUCGGAAUCACUGGGCGUAAAGCGCGCGUAGGCGGUUUGUUAAGUCAGAUGUGAAAUCCCCGGGCUUAACCUGGAACUGCAUUUCAAACUGGCGAACUAGAGUGCGGUAGAGGGAGGUAGAAUUUCCUGUGUAGCGGUGAAAUGCGUAGAUAUAGGAAGGAAUUCCAGUGGCGAAGGCGGCCCCCUGGGCUAACACUGACGCUAAGGCGCGAAAGCGUGGGGAGCAAACAGGAUUAGAUACCCCGGUAGUCC